AACUUUUGGCAACGGAUCUCUUGGCUCUCCUAUCGCUGAAGAACGCAGCGAAAUGCGAUAAGUAAUGUGAAUUGCAGAAUUCAGUGAAUCAUCGAAUCUUUGAACGCACCUUGCGCCCUUUGGUAUUCCGAAGGGCAUGCCUGUUUGAGUGUCAUUAAAUUAUCAACCUUGCUCGCUUUUACCGGCUUGAGUUAGGCUUGGAUGUGAGGGCUUUGCUGGCUUCCUUCAGUGGAUGGUCUGCUCCCUUUAAAUGCAUUAGUGGGAUCUCUUGUGGACCGUCACUUGGUGUGAUAAUUAUCUAUGCCAUCUUGACUUUGAAGCAAAACUUAUGGGAGCCCGCUCAUAACCGUCUUCGGACAAUCUUUGACAUUUUGACCUCAAAUCAGGUAGGACUACCCGCUGAACUUAAGCAUAUCAAUAAGCGGAGGCU
rnacentral:misc_RNA from 1 species